rnacentral:rRNA from 1 species
AAAUGAAUAGACGGGGGCCCGCACAAGCAGUGGAUUAUGUGGUUUAAUUCGAAGCAACGCGAAGAACCUUACCAGGGUUUGACAUCCAACUAACGAAGCAGAGAUGCAUUAGGUGCCCUUCGGGGAAAGUUGAGACAGGUGGUGCAUGGUUGUCGUCAGCUCGUGUCGUGAGAUGUUGGGUUAAGUCCCGCAACGAGCGCAACCCUUAUUGCUAGUUGCUACGCAAGAGCACUCUAGCGAGACUGCCGUUGACAAAACGGAGGAAGGUGGGGAUGACGUCAAAUCAUCAUGCCCCUUAUGUCCUGGGCUACACACGUAAUACAAUGGCGUUUAACAGAGGGAAGCAAGACCGCGAGGUGGAGCAAAUCCCCAAAAAACGUCUCAGUUCGGAUUGUAGGCUGCAACUCGCCUAUAUGAAGUCGGAAUUGCUAGUAAUCGCGGAUCAGCAUGCCGCGGUGAAUACGUUCCCGGGCCUUGUACACACCGCCCGU